GUGGAUUAGAUACCCUGGUAGUCCACGCGGUAAACGAUGGAUACUAGGUGUAGGAGGUAUCGACUCCUUCUGUGCCGCCGUUAACACAUUAAGUAUCCCGCCUGGGGAGUACGGCCGCAAGGUUGAAACUCAAAGGAAUUGACGGGGGCCCGCACAAGUGGUGGAGCAUGUGGUUUAAUUCGACGCUACGCGAAGAACCUUACCUGGGUUUGACAUCUAUGGGAAGGCGCUAGAGAUAGUGUCCGUCCUUCGGGACUCAUAGACAGGUGCUGCGCGGCUGUCGACAACU
rnacentral:rRNA from 1 species